rnacentral:rRNA from 1 species
UACGUAGGGGGCGAGCGUUGUCCGGAAUUAUUGGGCGUAAAGGGCGCGUAGGCGGUCUCUUAAGUCUGAUGUGAAAGCCCCCGGCUUAACCGGGGAGGGUCAUUGGAAACUGGGAGACUUGAGUGCAGAAGAGAAGAGUGGAAUUCCACGUGUAGCGGUGAAAUGCGUAGAGAUGUGGAGGAACACCAGUGGCGAAGGCGGCUUCCUGGCCUGUAACAGACGCUGAGGCACGAAAGCGUGGGGAGCGAACAGG